AGGUAAGCUACUAAGAGCGAAUGGUGGAUGCCUUGACUGGUAAAGGCGAUGAAGGACGUACUAGACUGCGAUAAGCUACGGGGAGCUGUCAAGAAGCUUUGAUCCGUAGAUUUCCGAAUGGGGCAACCCAAUGUAUAGAGAUAUACAUUACCUAUAUAGGAGCGAACGAGGGGAAUUGAAACAUCUUAGUACCCUCAGGAAAAGAAAUCAAUAGAGAUUGCGUCAGUAGCGGCGAGCGAAAGCGCAAGAGGGCAAACCCAGUGCUUGCACUGGGGGUUGUAGGACUGCAAUGUGCAAGAGGUGAGUUUAGCAGAACAUUCUGGAAAGUAUAGCCAUAGAGGGUGAUAGUCCCGUAUGCGAAAAACAAACCUUAGCUAGCAGUAUCCUGAGUAGGGCGGGACACGAGAAAUCCUGUCUGAAGCUGGGUCGACCACGAUCCAACCCUAAAUACUAAUACCAGAUCGAUAGUGCACAAGUACCGUGAGGGAAAGGUGAAAAGAACUGAGGUGAUCAGAGUGAAAUAGAACCUGAAACCAUUUGCUUACAAUCAUUCAGAGCCCUAUGUAGCAAUACAGGGUGAUGGACUGCCUUUUGCAUAAUGAGCCUGCGAGUUGUGGUGUCUGGCAAGGUUAAGCAAACGCGAAGCCGUAGCGAAAGCGAGUCUGAAUAGGGCGCUUAGUCAGAUGCUGCAGACCCGAAACGAAGUGAUCUAUCCAUGAGCAAGUUGAAGCUAGUGUAAGAACUAGUGGAGGACUGAACCCAUAGGCGUUGAAAAGCCCCGGGAUGACUUGUGGAUAGGGGUGAAAGGCCAAUCAAACUUCGUGAUAGCUGGUUCUCUCCGAAAUAUAUUUAGGUAUAGCGUUGUGUCGUAAUAUAAGGGGGUAGAGCACUGAAUGGGCUAGGGCAUACACCAAUGUACCAAACCCUAUCAAACUCCGAAUACUUUAUAUGUAAUCACAGCAGUCAGGCGGCGAGUGAUAAAAUCCGUCGUCAAGAGGGAAACAACCCAGACUACCAGCUAAGGUCCCUAAAUCUUACUUAAGUGGAAAACGAUGUGAAGUUACUUAAACAACCAGGAGGUUGGCUUAGAAGCAGCCAUCCUUUAAAGAAAGCGUAAUAGCUCACUGGUCUAGUGAUUUUGCGCGGAAAAUAUAACGGGGCUAAAGUAAGUACCGAAGCUGUAGACUUGCGCACAACUUAGAUUAUUUAAGUUUAGAAUAUGAGAAACUAAGUUAUAUGUUUAGUUAUAUUUUUACUGAUUUUUAUAGAGUAAAGAUAGAAAUAAAACUUAGUAAAAUCAGUAAAAAUAUUCUUAGACUAAAGUUAAGUAGUUUAAGUUGUGUGCAAGUGGUAGGAGAGCGUUCUAUUUGCGUCGAAGGUAUACCGGUAAGGAGUGCUGGAGCGAAUAGAAGUGAGCAUGCAGGCAUGAGUAGCGAUAAUUAAUGUGAGAAUCAUUAACGCCGUAAACCCAAGGUUUCCUACGCGAUGCUCGUCAUCGUAGGGUUAGUCGGGUCCUAAGUCGAGUCCGAAAGGGGUAGACGAUGGCAAAUUGGUUAAUAUUCCAAUACCAACAUUAGUGUGCGAUGGAAGGACGCUUAGGGCUAAGGGGGCUAGCGGAUGGAAGUGCUAGUCUAAGGUCGUAGGAGGUUAUACAGGCAAAUCCGUAUAACAAUACUCCGAGAACUGAAAGGCUUUUUGAAGUCUUCGGAUGGAUAGAAGAACCCCUGAUGCCGUCGAGCCAAGAAAAGUUUCUAAGUUUAGCUAAUGUUGCCCGUACCGUAAACCGACACAGGUGGGUGGGAUGAGUAUUCUAAGGCGCGUGGAAGAACUCUCUUUAAGGAACUCUGCAAAAUAGCACCGUAUCUUCGGUAUAAGGUGUGGUUCGCUUCGUAUUAGGAUUUACUCCGAAAGCGAAGAAACUUACAACAAAGAGUCCCUCCCGACUGUUUACCAAAAACACAGCACUCUGCUAACUCGUAAGAGGAUGUAUAGGGUGUGACGCCUGCCCGGUGCUCGAAGGUUAAUUGAUGGGGUUAGCAUUAGCGAAGCUCUUGAUCGAAGCCCGAGUAAACGGCGGCCGUAACUAUAACGGUCCUAAGGUAGCGAAAUUCCUUGUCGGUUAAAUACCGACCUGCAUGAAUGGCGUAACGAGAUGGGAGCUGUCUCAAAGAGGGAUCCAGUGAAAUUGUAGUGGAGGUGAAAAUUCCUCCUACCCGCGGCAAGACGGAAAGACCCCGUGGACCUUUACUACAGCUUGACACUGCUAUUUGGAUAAGAAUGUGCAGGAUAGGUGGGAGGCUUUGAGUAUAUGACGCCAGUUGUAUAUGAGCCAUUGUUGAGAUACCACUCUUUCUUAUUUGGGUAGCUAACCAGCUUGAGUUAUCCUCAAGUGGGACAAUGUCUGGUGGGUAGUUUGACUGGGGCGGUCGCCUCCCAAAUAAUAACGGAGGCUUACAAAGGUUGGCUCAGAACGGUUGGAAAUCGUUCGUAGAGUAUAAAGGUAUAAGCCAGCUUAACUGCAAGACAUACAAGUCAAGCAGAGACGAAAGUCGGUCUUAGUGAUCCGGUGGUUCUGUGUGGAAGGGCCAUCGCUCAAAGGAUAAAAGGUACCCCGGGGAUAACAGGCUGAUCUCCCCCAAGAGCUCACAUCGACGGGGAGGUUUGGCACCUCGAUGU
rnacentral:rRNA from 1 species